AGUGAACGCUGGCGGUAGGCCUAACACAUGCAAGUCGAACGGCAGCACAGUAAGCGCUUGCUCUUACGGGUGGCGAGUGGCGGACGGGUGAGGAAUACAUCGGAAUCUACUUUUUCGUGGGGGAUAACGUAGGGAAACUUACGCUAAUACCGCAUACGAUCUACGGGUGAAAGCAGGGGAUCUUCGGACCUUGCGCGAUUGAAUGAGCCGAUGUCGGAUUAGCUAGUUGGCUGGGUAAAGGCCCACCAAGGCGACGAUCCGUAGCUGGUCUGAGAGGAUGAUCAGCCACACUGGAACUGAGACACGGUCCAGACUCCUACGGGAGGCAGCAGUGGGGAAUAUUGGACAAUGGGCGCAAGCCUGAUCCAGCCAUACCGCGUGGGUGAAGAAGGCCUUCGGGUUGUAAAGCCCUUUUGUUGGGAAAGAAAAGCAGCAGGUUAAUACCCCGCUGUUCUGACGGUACCCAAAGAAUAAGCACCGGCUAACUUCGUG
rnacentral:rRNA from 1 species